GAGCAUUCCCUGAGUCGAGAGGAGGAAGCGUGUCCCUACUCUCUGUUGUGACUCUUCACUGGCUAGAUAUAAAGUCUAGCAGAGCGAGUGUUGCUGGUGGAGGGGCCGCGCCGGGUGUCUCGUAACACGAAAAUACGACAUACCUCCCGUGAGAACCUGUACAUGGAGCUACGGAGUUUUUAUCUUUCAAGAUGUCGUAUAUGAAGGGUAUGCAGCGACGCCACCACAACACAUCUGCCUCGUCAGAGAAAGCAGCAGGAACAGCAGCACACAGAGAGCACCAUGGGACUGAACAUCAUCGUAUUUCUAAUCCUGGGUUCUUCUCUGGCGACUAAUGCUUUGGACUCAUUGACUGACACGUCUACCGACAGCAACACCACCCCCACGGUUAAACACCAUUCACUGAGCCAUACACCAAGAUUGGAGGUCGUUGUUUGCUGUUCGCCUUAAUAACACCGAGCAGCUGGUACAACAUGAAGUACGUGUGAGAGUCCCUGGACGGUCACCUGGCCAUUGUCAAAGACGCCAACCUUCUGGGGGACAUUAUUGACUAUAUUUACGAACAUGAGUCAACAGCCAAAGAUUACUGGCUGGGAGCGACCGACGAGGAGGUUGAAGGGUCGUGGAAGUGGCUGGACGGCUCAGCGGUGACGAUGGGGAUGCCACUGUG